rnacentral:rRNA from 1 species
UAGGGAAUCUUCCGCAAUGGGCGAAAGCCUGACGGAGCAACGCCGCGUGAGUGAUGAAGGUCUUCGGAUCGUAAAACUCUUUUAUUAGGGAAGAACAAAUGUGUAAGUAACUAUGCACGUCUUGCCGGUACCUAAUCAGAAAGCCACGGCUAACUACGUGCCAGCAGCCGCGGUAAUACGUAGGUGGCAAGCGUUAUCCGGAAUUAUUGGGCGUAAAGCGCGCGUAGGCGGUUUUUUAAGUCUGAUGUGAAAGCCCACGGCUCAACCGUGGAGGGUCAUUGGAAACUGGAAAACUAGAGUGCAGAAGAGGAAAGUGGAAUUCCAUGUGUAGCGGUGAAAUGCGCAGAGAUAUGGAGGAACACCAGUGGCGAAGGCGACUUUCUGGUCUGUAACUGACGCUGAUGUGCGAAAGCGUGGGGAUCAAACAGG